rnacentral:rRNA from 1 species
AUGUUAGCGGCGGACGGGUGAGUAACACGUGGAUAACCUACCUAUAAGACUGGGAUAACUUCGGGAAACCGGAGCUAAUACCGGAUAAUAUUUUGAACCGCAUGGUUCAAAAGUGAAAGACGGUCUUGCUGUCACUUAUAGAUGGAUCCGCGCUGCAUUAGCUAGUUGGUAAGGUAACGGCUUACCAAGGCAACGAUGCAUAGCCGACCUGAGAGGGUGAUCGGCCACACUGGAACUGAGACACGGUCCAGACUCCUACGGGAGGCAGCAGUAGGGAAUCUUCCGCAAUGGGCGAAAGCCUGACGGAGCAACGCCGCGUGAGUGAUGAAGGUCUUCGGAUCGUAAAACUCUGUUAUUAGGGAAGAACAUAUGUGUAAGUAACUGUGCACAUCUUGACGGUACCUAAUCAGAAAGCCACGGCUAACUACGUGCCAGCAGCCGCGGUAAUACGUAGGUGGCAAGCGUUAUCCGGAAUUAUUGGGCGUAAAGCGCGCGUAGGCGGUUUUUUAAGUCUGAUGUGAAAGCCCACGGCUCAACCGUGGAGGGUCAUUGGAAACUGGAAAACUUGAGUGCAGAAGAGGACACACUGGAAUUCCAUGUGUAGCGGUGAAAUGCGCAGAGAUAUGGAGGAACACCAUUGGCGAAGGCGACUUUCUGGUCUGUAACUGACGCUGAUGUGCGAAAGCGUUGGGGAUCAAACAGGAUUAGAUACCCUGGUAGUCCU